rnacentral:rRNA from 1 species
ACGUAGGGUGCGAGCGUUAAUCGGAAUUACUGGGCGUAAAGCGUGCGCAGGCGGUUAUAUAAGUUAGAUGGAAAAUACCCGGGGCCAAAAUGGGAAAUGCAUUUGUGACCGAAUGACUAGAGUGUGGCAGAGGAGGGUGGAAUUCCACGUGUAGCAGUGAAAUGCGUAGAGAUGUGGAGGAACACCGAUGGCGAAGGCAGCCCCCUAGGCCAAUACUGACGCUCAUGCACGAAAGCGUGGGGAGCAAACAG